rnacentral:ribozyme from 17 species
AACUCUAUUGCAGACAUCUACAUGCCUAUUGAAAGAACUAAGCCCAUCAGAAACAGUACCGAUUCCAGAUCAAUGUUCGUAUCAAGGACACGUUGCAACGUUAUUUUUUCUUCGUCUUUUUCUUCUUCUUGGGCGCCUCAUCUUUUUUCUUUUUCUUU